UCCAGACUCCUACGGGAGGCAGCAGUGGGGAAUAUUGCACAAUGGGGGAAACCCUGAUGCAGCGACGCCGCGUGAGCGAAGAAGUAUUUCGGUAUGUAAAGCUCUAUCAGCAGGGAAGAAAAAAAUGACGGUACCUGAGUAAGAAGCACCGGCUAAAUACGUGCCAGCAGCCGCGGUAAUACGUAUGGUGCAAGCGUUAUCCGGAUUUACUGGGUGUAGAGGGAGCGUAGGCGGCGCGUUAAGUCUGAUGUGAAAACCCGAGGCUCAACCACGGGAGUGCAUUGGAAACUGGCGGGCUGGAGUGCCGGAGAGGUAAGCGGAAUUCCUAGUGUAGCGGUGAAAUGCGUAGAUAUUAGGAGGAACACCAGUGGCGAAGGCGGCUUACUGGACGGCAACUGACGCUGAGGCUCGAAAGCGUGGGGAGCAAACAGGAUUAGAUACCCGAGUA
rnacentral:rRNA from 1 species